AGGGGUAUAGUUCUUCGGAAUAGAGACCGGCGCACGGGUGCGUAACGCGUAUGCAAUCUACCUUUCACAGAGGGAUAGCCCAGAGAAAUUUGGAUUAAUACCUCAUAGUAUGCAGAGUUGGCAUCAACACUGCAUUAAAGUCACAACGGUGAAAGAUGAGCAUGCGUCCCAUUAGCUAGUUGGUAAGGUAACGGCUUACCAAGGCUACGAUGGGUAGGGGUCCUGAGAGGGAGAUCCCCCACACUGGUACUGAGACACGGACCAGACUCCUACGGGAGGCAGCAGUGAGGAAUAUUGGUCAAUGGGCGCAAGCCUGAACCAGCCAUGCCGCGUGCAGGAUGACGGUCCUAUGGAUUGUAAACUGCUUUUGUACAGGAAGAAACAGUUCUACGUGUAGAACCUUGACGGUACUGUAAGAAUAAGGAUCGGCUAACUCCGUGCCAGCAGCCGCGGUAAUACGGAGGAUCCAAGCGUUAUCCGGAAUCAUUGGGUUUAAAGGGUCCGUAGGCGGUUUAGUAAGUCAGUGGUGAAAGCCCAUCGCUCAACGGUGGAACGGCCAUUGAUACUGCUAGACUUGAAUUAUUAGGAAGUAACUAGAAUAUGUAGUGUAGCGGUGAAACGCUUAGAGAUUACAUGGAAUACCAAUUGCGAAGGCAGGUUACUACUAAUGGAUUGACGCUGAUGGACGAAAGCGUGGGUAGCGAACAGGAUUACAUACCCUGGUAGUCCACGCCGUA
rnacentral:rRNA from 1 species